UGCAGGAGUGGCAUUAGAGUGCUACAAAUGUGCCUUUGACUUCUUAAACCUAAACCUACCAUGUCUUAGCCUGAAAACAACCUGCAGCAAAGGUCAGACCUGUGCAAUAAUAACUGGAACAGCAUUUGACAAAAACAUAAUAAAGAGGAAAGACUGCAUUUCUAAUGGAAAGUGCAACACCACAUCCUCAGAAAUGUACCUAAAUAUAAGGUACACAAUGAACGUGACUUGUUGUGAUGGAGAUCUCUGCAAUUCUGGAGACAGUGUGAAGUUCACUCACUUCCCUGCACUAACCAUCCUAGUUCUGUGGCACAUUGUAUCACAAUAAUAAAACUGCUAAAUAAUGUUAUUAAUUUUUUUGUAAGGAUAAUAAUGCUGGCAUCAGUAGUUUACACAACAACUAUAUUAGUUAGUAAUUAUUUUUUCUGCUUCUUCAUAAGUUGAAUGUUUCUGAUGAAGUCUGUGCAUUGUAAAGCGAAUGGGGAUUAAAGUUUUUUGACCUGGGACAUA